ensembl:rRNA 5S_rRNA 5S ribosomal RNA
GACUACGGACAUACCAUCCUAAACGGGCCUGAUCUUUUCUGAUCUUGGAAGCUAAGCAGGGUCGGGUCUGGUUAGUACUUGGAUGGGAGCCCACCUGUGAAUACUGGGUGCUGUGGGUU